rnacentral:rRNA from 1 species
AUACGAAGGGUGCAAGCGUUAAUCGGAAUUACUGGGCGUAAAGCGCGCGUAGGUGGUUUUGUAAGUUGGAGGUGAAAGCCCCGGGCUCAACCUGGGAAUUGCCUCCAAAACUGCAUGACUAGAGUACGGUAGAGGGUAGUGGAAUUUCCUGUGUAGCGGUGAAAUGCGUAGAUAUAGGAAGGAACACCAGUGGCGAAGGCGACUACCUGGACUGAUACUGACACUGAGGGGCGAAAGCGUGGGGAGAAACCAGGAUUAGAUCCCCCGGUAGUCCACGCCGUAAACGAUGUCAACUAGCCGUUGGGAUCCUUGAGAUCUUAGUGGCGCAGCUAACGCAUUAAGUUGACCGCCUGGGGAGUACGGCCGCAAGGUUGAAACUCAAAGGAAUUGACGGGG